UACGUAGGGUGCAAGCGUUGUCCGGAAUUAUUGGGCGUAAAGAGCUCGUAGGCGGUUUGUCGCGUCUGCUGUGAAAACCCGAGGCUCAACCUCGGGCCUGCAGUGGGUACGGGCAGACUAGAGUGUGGUAGGGGAGACUGGAAUUCCUGGUGUAGCGGUGAAAUGCGCAGAUAUCAGGAGGAACACCGAUGGCGAAGGCAGGUCUCUGGGCUGUAACUGACGCUGAGGAGCGAAAGCAUGGGGAGCGAACAGG
rnacentral:rRNA from 1 species